UUCGCACUGCGCAGGAAGCGACACGCGCAAAAGAAUCAGAAGUUAAACGCAAAGGUACCGCGGCUCACGCAACAGCAAGCAGCAGCUUUUACUGUAACCGCUCGGAGUUUCCCCGCGAAUGCAAGAGGAACCCGACGUCUCGAGCAGAAUGAUUGGUUAUCAAGGCACCAGAAACAGCGCUAGAGCGAAGGAAGCUGUUAAAAGAUGCGGUGUUGGGAGUCUUUUAACCUAGCCUGGUUCUUCUGGCGACUUGGCAGAGCUCAACCACGGAAGUCAGACCACUAUGGGCCGAAGCUGACCGAUAAAGGUCCAGACAUGAAGGAGACAGCGUCUCGUCUGUGGCAUCUCACAAUGAGAAGAGCUUUCAGCGUGUCGCGAGUUUCCAAAGUUGGUUCAGGAGAUACACUGGAUUAGGUGGGAAGCCAAAUCACUCCUGGCGACUGACCCUGUCCUGCACCACUGUAAAGCAUAGAGAGGUGGGAUGCACCCGCCCGCUACUUGCCUUGUCUCCAUGCCGACCUCUGCGCAGACUGUCAAGUCAACUCACCAUCAGGCCACCAUUUGCCUCAGUGAACAUUCAACGCUGUCGGUGAGUUUGAGCUAAAUAGAAAAAAACCAUCGACCGUUGACUGUACCCUGCGGCCGAGCCCUACCGAGCCUUGCCUCUCUCACCACCAGCAAAGACGAAUUUCAGCAUGGACUCCUGGAGACACGACGGAUUUGUCUUCCAACGCUACCGGCAGCCGCAGUCAACGGCUGAAAAGUUUGACUUUG